rnacentral:rRNA from 1 species
UGUUUGAUCCUGGCUCAGAACAAACGCUGGCGGCGUGCCUAACACAUGCAAGUCGAACGAGAAAGUCGGCUUCGGCCGAUGAGUACAGUGGCGCACGGGUGAGUAACGCGUGGGUAAUCUGCCCCCCGGUCAGGAAUAACCCGCCGAAAGGCGGGCUAAUACCCGAUAACACUGACGCUCUGCGGAGUGUCUUUCAAAGAAGGCCUCUGUUUACAAGCUUUCGCCGGAGGAUGAGCCCGCGUACCAUUAGCUAGUUGGCAGGGUAAUGGCCUACCAAGGCAACGAUGGUUAGCUGGUCUGAGAGGAUGGCCAGCCACACUGGAACUGAGACACGGUCCAGACUCCUACGGGAGGCAGCAGUGAGGAAUCUUGCGCAAUGGGGGAAACCCUGACGCAGCAACGCCGCGUGAGUGAGGAAGGCCUUCGGGUCGUAAAGCUCUGUCAGAUGGGAAGAAAUGGGUGGGGGUGAAUAUCGUCCACCCUUGACGGUACCAUCAGAGAAGCACCGUACUCCUG